GUGAACGCUGGCGGUAGGCCUAACACCUGCCAGUCGAACGGCAGCACAGUAAGAGCUUGCUCUUACGGGUGGCGAGUGGCGGACGGGUGAGGAAUACAUCGGAAUCUACUUUUUCGUGGGGGAUAACGUAGGGAAACUUACGCUAAUACCGCAUACGACCUACGGGUGAAAGCAGGGGAUCUUCGGACCUUGCGCGAUUGAAUGAGCCGAUGUCGGAUUAGCUAGUUGGCGGGGUAAAGGCCCACCAAGGCGACGAUCCGUAGCUGGUCUGAGAGGAUGAUCAGCCACACUGGAACUGAGACACGGUCCAGACUCCUACGGGAGGCAGCAGUGGGGAAUAUUGGACAAUGGGCGCAAGCCUGAUCCAGCCAUACCGCGUGGGUGAAGAAGGCCUUCGGGUUGUAAAGCCCUUUUGUUGGGAAAGAAAAGCAGCAGGUUAAUACCCCGCUGUUCUGACGGUGCCCAAAGAAUAAGCACCGGCUAACUUCGUG
rnacentral:rRNA from 1 species